rnacentral:rRNA from 1 species
UCCGUAGGUGGAUUAAUAAGUCAGAGGUGAAAUCCUGCAGCUUAACUGUAGAACUGCCUUUGAUACUGUUAAUCUUGAGUCAUUAUGAAGUGGUUAGAAUGUGUAGUGUAGCGGUGAAAUGCAUAGAUAUUACACAGAAUACCGAUUGCGAAGGCAGAUCACUAAUAAUGUACUGACACUGAGGGACGAAAGCGUGGGGAGCGAACA